CUUCUGAUCAAGAUUUGUGGUG
rnacentral:miRNA from 1 species